GCUACUACCGAUUGAAUGGUUUAGUGAGGACUCCUGAUUGGCGCCGCCGCCCCGGCAACGGAGCAGCGGACUGCCGAAAAGUUGUUCAAACUUGAUCAUUUAGAGGAAGUAAAAGUCGUAACAAGGUUUCCGUAGGUGAACCUGCAGCAGGAUCAAGAGCGGAAGAGCGACGUGUUGGGAAAGAGUGCAGAUCUUGGUGGGCGCCGGAUGAUGUAAAAAAAAAAACGAAGUGAACUAUAAACACAAUUAAGACAUCAAAAGAUUCAAUCUUAUCAU
rnacentral:misc_RNA from 1 species